CCUACGGGUGGCAGCAGUGAGGAAUAUUGGUCAAUGGGCGAGAGCCUGAACCAGCCAAGUCGCGUGAGGGAGUACUGCCCUAUGGGUUGUAAACCUCUUUUGUCGGGGAGCAAAAGCCGGACGUGUCCGGCUGUUAGAGUACCCGAAGAAAAAGCAUCGGCUAACUCCGUCCCAGCAGUCGCGGUAAUACGGAGGAUGCGAGCGUUAUCCGGUUUUUUUGGGGUUAAAGGGUGCGCAGGCGGAUUUUUAAGUCAGCGGUCAAAUCGUGGGGCUCAACCCCAUCCAGCCGUUGAAACUGGGGAUCUAGAGUGUGCGAGAGGUAUGCGGAAUGCGUGGUGUAGCGGUGAAAUGCAUAGAUAUCACGCAGAACCCCGAUUGCGAAGGCAGCAUACCGGUGCACAACUGACGCUCAGGCACGAAAGCGUGGGUAUCGAACAGGAUUAGAUACCCGGGUAGUC
rnacentral:rRNA from 1 species